rnacentral:lncRNA from 1 species
AUUGAUAUGUCCUGGUUGUUGUGAAGUAUUUUGUAGCCGGUCCUGCUGAGUUUUCUCCUUUCAGGUAGCCUGUUUCUGGUCUCAGGUUCAGAGAUGUAUCAUGACACAAGAUGAGACCGGUGGGAUGGGCUGAGGGUUGGAAUUGGAGACAAGUGGGCGUGGAGCGACGCUCAAAGUUAAAAAAACAAAAAUGGUAUCCAAUUGGUAGUUACAGUCUUGUGUCAUCGCUGCAACUCCCAUACGGACUCGGGAGAGGCAAAGGUCGAGAGCAUGCGUCCUCCGAAACAGAACCCAACCAAGCCGCACUGCUUCUUGACACAACGCCCACUCAACCCGGAAGCCAGCCGCACCAAUGUGUCAGAGGAAACACUGUGCACCUGGUGACCGUGUCACCGUGCACUGCGCCCGGCCCGCCACAGGAGUCACUAGUGCGCAAUGGGACAAGGAGAUCUCUGAUGGCCAAACCCUCCCCUAACCCGGACGACGCUGGGCCAAUUGUGCGCCCAGAAUCUCUAGUGGCACAGCUAGCACUGUGAUGCAGUGCCUUAGACCACUGCGCCACUUGGGGGACCCCCAGUCUGCAGACCUCUGGAGUCUGUCGCACUCCUUCACUUCAAUCAAAACGGACACAUUCCUCUUCAACACCACCAUAACAACCAUUGCCUGAUUAGCAAUACCUCCAAUAACGGAGAACAUAUUAUAGAAUAACGACCCACACUUUAACCUGUCCUAUUAUACAUUAGAAUAAAGAUCUACACUUUAUCCUAUGACGCAUUUUCAGUUGCUGCCCUCUUUAAACCUGAUUGAUCUUGUGAAGCAAUUCUCUAAUUCUACACAUGGUGUAUGUCUUUCUUUUUUGGACCAUUUUCUUAUUGAGGGGAUGCAUCCACAAUGUGUUCUUCCAGGUUGUGAUCAAAUGCUCUACUUUCAUAGUUUCGAUAUGUUCUGUAUUUUUCACAAUGGUAAC